rnacentral:rRNA from 1 species
UACGGAGGGUGCAAGCGUUAUCCGGAUUCACUGGGUUUAAAGGGUGCGUAGGCGGGCAGAUAAGUCAGUGGUGAAAUCUCCUAGCUUAACUCGGAAACUGCCGUUGAUACUAUUUGUCUUGAAUACUGUGGAGGAAAGCGGAAUAUGUCAUGUAGCGGUGAAAUGCUUAGAUAUGACAUAGAACACCGAUUGCGAAGGCAGCUUACUACACAGCAAUUGACGCUGAGGCACGAAAGCGUGGGGAUCAAACAGG